UGGGGAAUUUUGCGCAAUGGGCGAAAGCCUGACGCAGCAACGCCGCGUGGAGGAUGAAGGAUCUCUGAUCCGUAAACUCCUGUCGGCCGGGAAGAAACGGCAGGGCGCUAAUCAGCCCUGCCUUGACUGUACCGGCAAAGGAAGCCCCGGCUAACUCCGUGCCAGCAGCCGCGGUAAUACGGGGGGGGCAAGCGUUACUCGGAAUUAUUGGGCGUAAAGGGCGCGUAGGCGGUCGUGUGCGUCGAGGGUGAAAUCCCCGGGCUUAACCCGGGAGCUGCCUUCGAUACGGCACGGCUUGAGUCCGGGAGAGGGGAGCAGAAUUCCCAGUGUAGCGGUGAAAUGCGUAGAUAUUGGGAGGAAUACCGGUGGCGAAGGCGGCUCCCUGGACCGGUACUGACGCUGAGGCGCGAAAGCGUGGGUAGCAAACAG
rnacentral:rRNA from 1 species